rnacentral:rRNA from 1 species
UACGUAGGGUGCGAGCGUUUGUCCGGAAUUAUUGGGCGUAAAGAGCUUGUAGGCGGUUUUGUCGCGUCUGCCGUGAAAAUUCGAGGCUCAACCUCGAACUUGCGGUGGGUACGGGCAGACUAGAGUGCGGUAGGGGAGAUUGGAAUUCCUGGUGUAGCGGUGGAAUGCGCAGAUAUCAGGAGGAACACCAAUGGCGAAGGCAGAUCUCUGGGCCGUAACUGACGCUGAGGAGCGAAAGCAUGGGGGAGCGAACAGG